UCUGGCCCUCCCCCGUUCAUGCUCUGUCUCUCUGUGUCCCAAAAAUAAAUAAACGUUGAAAAAAAAAAUUUAAAAACAAAACAAAACAAAAAACGGGGAGGGCAUGCAGAUCUUCCACAGACCCUGUAGCUAGCCCCCAUCUAGACACACCCCCAAUGCCAGUAUCCACCUUCAAUUGGAGCUCCAACCCCCUGAGUGCAAGCAGACUCAUGCCUGCCUCAACAGCAAUAAGGCCUUUGUGUGGUGGGCAGAAACCGGAUAAUUCAUUCUGAGGAGAGGCCCUUUCUGUGGAGCCAGAGCAGAACUUUUUUGCAGGAGCUUGAAGCUCCUUCAACAACAGUGCACCCAUGGGCACGAGAAGUCCCAAUUUUGAUAAUCCUCAUUGAGCACCAGAGGACCCGGCAGUGAGAAGCCCCAGGGAGUGCACGGGGCCUUCGGCCAUUGGUGGAAAUGGCUCACUCACUGGGGCACCCACAUAGCCAGCGGUUGCACUCCUUCGUGUGCGGCAACUGUGGGCAAGUCCUUCGUGUGUACCUGGGUAGGCACAUGGGCAGCGGCCCUCCAAGUGCUCCUCAGUGACUGCUCCAUCCAUCAUCCUUCAGCAUGGUAGGUUCCACACAGGACUCCAUACCGAGCCCUGACUUUGUCCCUGGACAGGAAGACAGAAGACCCUGAGUCAGAGCAUUCAAUGUCCAGAUACCCAGAGCAUCAAGAAAGGGAGUCGGAUAGGCCCAGUGCCCCCUGAGACACACACACACACAGCAUGAGCAGAAAGUUGGGACAGCCAGGAUGGGUUGCUGGAUGCCAUACAUGAGGUGAAUCAGCUCAAUAAAAUUAGAUAUGUUUAUGUGAGGCAGGAGCCACGAGAUAACGAGCAGAAGAUGAGGGUGACAUAAAUGGGUGGGGAGGCCUCACCAGCCCAUCCUGAGCAAGCAGGGUUAGCGUCACCUUUGGAGCUGGGGGUUCUCAAAUGGGGCACAUAUUAGAAUCAACUGUGGAGUUUUGACACACAUGCUCGAGCCCCAACCCAGAGGUUCCAGCGAUUUCAUUGGUCUAGAGAAUAGCCCGCUCACCCAGGCUUUUCAGAGCUACCCACGUGUCUCCCACCCCCAACUCUUGUUCCCCUAGCGAGGCUGCAAAUGGCAGAUCGUUUCUGGGUCCCGAACUCCCAGAAGUCUGACUGGAAGCAAGGGCUAUCAAACACCCGCUGGGCUCGGACAGGCGGCACUGCUCGUUUGUCUGGGCCGCCGUUUCCUGGGCGACCACGCAAGUUCACGCCUCGCCUACUGGGUGUGGAUGGCCGCGGUUGCCAUGACAGCUGGGAGUCCUGGGGUUGGACAGCCGGGGCGGCGGGACUACGUUUCCCUACAGCCCCCGCGAGGGCUCCGGCUUUCCGGCGAGGCACAGUGCCGCGACGGCCCGUAGGAAGAGGGAAGAAGGCUUCGUGCUGCGUGCGAGGCGGGGACCAGGGCACCCGUGCGGGCCGCCCCCCAGCUGGACCCACCCCGGGAGUUCAGGAUGAUCUCAUCUCAAGAUCCUUAACUACAUGUGCAAAACUCCUUUCCCAGCUAAGGCUCCCUGAAGUUACCCAGAGCCACGUGAAUGAGUUCUGGCUAAUGGAAUGUGGACAGGAGUGAUGGAUAACAUAAAAUGGCCUACAUCAUCUUUUUCACUUGUUUCAUCAGUCAGCUGGACAGAGGAGAUUCAGCAGAAAAUCCUGAGAAGGACAUAAAGAACAGCAGAGACCCAGGAUAGAAGGAGCUUGGGUACCUAAAUCAAGGACAAUCUUCUAGGAAGGUCACUUGACCCCACUUGAGACUGUGACAUGAGCAAAAAGGAAGUCUGUAUUGUGUUGAGCCACUGAGAUCCUGGGAUUGUGUAGUCACUGUUAUGUGCUGUUAGUGAAUACAUCUUUUUAAAAAACUAAAAUCAUAGAGCUCCUGGCUGGCUUAGUCAGUAGAGCACGUGACUCUUGAUCUUGGGGUCAUGAAUUCAAGCCCUAAGUUGGGCAUGGAGCCUACUUAAGAAAAAAAGAACUAAAAUUGUGACUCUCAUGCAAGUAUAAAAUAAACAUGUGUCAAAGAUUUUGUUUCUUAAUAAGGUGUUACAACCAGUUUUUUGAGGGUGGAAGAAGGGACCAUAAGCAAGGAAUACUAGGAAUGCAGUUUAAAUGUUGAAAAGGCAAGGAUAUGAAUUCUCCCCUAGAACCUCCACAAAGAGGGUAGCCUUCCUGCCACUCCAAUUUCAGCUCAAUGAUACUGAUUUCAGACUUCAGGCACCCAGAACUGUGAAAGAAUGCAUUUCCGGUAUUUUAAGCCAUCAGGUUUGUGGUAAUAUGUUAUAGCAGCCACAGGAAACUAAUACACUGUCCUUCAUUUCUGC